AAUAGAUACCCCGGUAGUCCACGCCGUAAACGAUGAGUGCUAAGUGUUAGAGGGUUUCCGCCCUUUAGUGCUGAAGUUAACGCAUUAAGCACUCCGCCUGGGGAGUACGGCCGCAAGGCUGAAACUCAAAGGAAUUGACGGGGGCCCGCACAAGCGGUGGAGCAUGUGGUUUAAUUCGAAGCAACGCGAAGAACCUUACCAGGUCUUGACAUCCUCUGACAACCCUAGAGAUAGGGCUUCUCCUUCGGGAGCAGAGUGACAGGUGGUGCAUGGUUGUCGUCAGCUCGUGUCGUGAGAUGUUGGGUUAAGUCCCGCAACGAGCGCAACCCUUGAUCUUAGUUGCCAUCAUUAAGUUGGGCACUCUAAGGUGACUGCCGGUGACAAACCGGAGGAAGGUGGGGAUGACGUCAAAUCAUCAUGCCCCUUAUGAUCUGGGCUACACACGUGCUACAAUGGACGGUACAAAGAGCUGCAAGACCGCGAGGUGGAGCUAAUCUCAUAAAACCCGUUCUCAGUUCGGA
rnacentral:rRNA from 1 species